rnacentral:misc_RNA from 1 species
GAGUCGAAGUGACUAUCGGGUGUUGUUAUUGGUGUUUUAGAGAGCUUUGAACUUAAAGGGAUGCAAUUACAAUUAUUCCUAUUAAGAUAGGUGAGUAUACCACAAUAAAUAAAAUAAUUUCAAAAUUGUACUUGAAUGUUGGGACGUUCGAACUGUGAUGAAAUGAUUAAUUCAGACAUGCGCCGGAAGAAUUAGACGCUGUUAUGUAACAACUAGUUAUGUAACAAUAUAUGAAGCAACACCAUAUCUGUAGUGAGCUAUGAUUCUGCCCACUUAUUUCUGGUCCGUGAUAGACAAGACAGCUAGAGCUGCUGGGUGAAUCCCCGGCCCUCCUACAGCAGUAGCCAUGCCGUGGCCCUUGGUUCUGAUCGCUACCAUCAUAGCAACAGAAUGCAUGCUGCUUUUGGUGAAAAAACGGCUUUGUGAUAUGAUUUAUGCAAGAGCACCAUUAUCUUCGCGACCGUAUUUCUAUUAUGUUGUUUUGCUGUAGUUAUGUUGACAAUCUUUUUUCAAGUUAGUAUUGAAUAGUUAUGAUGUAUAUAACCAUUCGAUUUAAUUAUGUAUUUAACAUAAUUUGAUUGAAGUACUUUUAAUGUAUACGCUUUGAAGUCUAGUUUGCUAAUCUUGUCAAGCAUUUCUGAAAAAAUAAUUUUAUUGUCACUAUUUUUAAUAACAUGAUAAAUAUUUUUUUAAAUUCAAUAAAAAUAUUUUUAAAUGUA